rnacentral:tRNA from 1 species
GGCGGUGUAGCUCAGUCUGGUAGAGCAAACGGCUCAUACCCGUUGCGUCGACAGUUCAAAUCUGUCCGCCGCCA